rnacentral:rRNA from 1 species
CAGUAGCCACGGGAAUACGUAGGUGGCAAGCGUUGUCCGGAAUUAUUGGGCGUAAAGGGCUCGCAGGCGGUUUCUUAAGUCUGAUGUGGAAGCCCCCGGCUCAACCGGGGAGGGUCAUUGGAAACUGGGAAACUUGAGUGCAGAAGAGGAGAGUGGAAUUCCACGUGUAGCGGUGAAAUGCGUAGAGAUGUGGAGGAACACCAGUGGCGAAGGCGACUCUCUGGUCUGUAACUGACGCUGAGGAGCGAAAGCGUGGGAGCGAACAGGAUUAGAUACCCCAGUAGUCCCUGUCUCUUAUACC